AAAUUAGUCUCAUACAACGGUUCGUAUGACAUCUUUCAAAAGUUAUUGCUCAUUUUUUGUGCGUUUUCCUACGAAUGUCCAGCAACACGUGUCAAUUUACGCUCGUUACAUGCGUGCAGUCUUUUCAAAAUAAACUUCAGUCUUCACAGGAAACAACUU